GAUGAACGCUGGCGGCGUGCUUAAGACAUGCAAGUCGAACGCAGACCUAGCAGCAAUGUGGGGUCUGAGUGGCGAAUGGGUGCGUAACACGUGGGUGACCUGCCCUGAAGUGGGGAAUAACAGUCCGAAAGGACUGCUAAUACCGCAUACGGUUCAAGGCGUUAGAGAACUUGAACCAAAGCUUUUCGCAAGGAAGGCGCUUCAGGAGGGGCCUGCGGCCCAUCAGCUAGUUGGUA
rnacentral:rRNA from 1 species